GACAGAGGGUGCAAACGUUGCUCGGAAUUACUGGGCGUAAAGCGCGUGUAGGUGGAUUGGUGUGUCAGAUGUGAAAGCCCUGGGCUCAACCCAGGAAUUGCACCUGAAACUACCAGUCUUGAGUGGUGGAGAGGGAAGUGGAAUUCCUGGUGUAGAGGUGAAAUUCGUAGAUAUCAGGAGGAACACCAGUGGCGAAGGCGGCUUCCUGGACCAGCACCGACGUUCAGGCACGAAAGCGUGGGGAGCAAACAGG
rnacentral:rRNA from 1 species